GCCUAUUUUAAGGGUUGGAAAAUASGAACAACAGUUUAAACACCAAAGAAUUUGGCGGUGUCUUAAUUAAUUAGGGGAACCUGUGCCUUAAAUCGAUAAUCCACGAAAGUCUUACCUAAUAUUGAAACUCAGUUAGUGUACUGCCGUCUUAAGUAUACCUUUAUGAGCGUAUACAGAAAAUUAAAUUUAAGUUUAAUUAUACGUCAGGUCAAAGUGCAGCUUAUAAUUAGGGGGUAAUGGGUUACAAUCUAUAUAAUGAUUACGAAUAAAAGUAAUAAAUAC
rnacentral:rRNA from 1 species